rnacentral:misc_RNA from 1 species
AACGCACGAGACCUGCGGACCUGCGGAGGGAUCAUUAUAGAGUUAGGGUCUUCUGGGCCCAACCUCCAACCCUUUGCCUACAUGACUGCCUGUUGCUUUGGCGAGCCUGCUUCUACUAAGAGGCUGCCGGAGGUGUAACAGCCUUUGGACUGUGCUCGUCUGAAGCCAACUCAUUAAACUCUAGCUGAAAUGUGGAGUCUUAUCAAAACACUUUAAUAGCUAAAAACUUUUAGCAAUGGA